rnacentral:rRNA from 1 species
AUGUUUAGAUAGCCAUGCACGUCUAAGUACAAACUAAAAGAAGGUGAAACAGCAAAUCGGCUCAUUACAACGGUUAUGAUGUACCCGGGAGUUCCGAUGGAUAUUUCCAGUAACACUAGAACUAAUACAUGUCCCUGCGUUUAUUAGUUUCGCACAGUCCGUCGCUGAGUCAUGGUAAACAGUUGAUCGACUCGACGUCCCGGAACAGUUUCCGCCCCAUCAGCUUCGAUGGUUGGGUAUUGGCCUACCAUUGCAACAACGGGUAACGAGGAAUUAGGGUUUGAUUUCGGAGAGGGAGCCUGAGAAACGGCUACCACAUCUACGGAUGGCAGCAGGCGCGCAAAUUACCCAAUGCAGACACUGUGAGGUAGUGACGAGAAAUAAUAAAGCGGGACUUCUGUUUCGCUAUUAUAAUGAGGAAUAACCAAAAGUCAUUCCGAUUAGCAACUGAUGGGAAAGUCUGGUGCCAGCAGCCGCGGUAAUACCAGCGUCAGUAGCAU